rnacentral:rRNA from 1 species
AUUGAACGCUGGCGGCAGGCCUAACACAUGCAAGUCGAGCGAGCGGAGGACGGGUGAGAAAUGUCUGGGAAACUGCCCGUUGGAGGGGGAUAACUACUGGAAACGGUAGCUAAUACCGCAUACCAUCAGAUGUGCCCAGAUGUGAUUAGCUAGUAGUUGGGGUAACGGCUCACCUAGGCGACGAUCCCUAGCUGGUCUGAGAGGAUGACCAGCCACACUGGAACUGAGACACUGUCCAGACUCCUACGGGUGGAAGCAGUGGGGAAUAUUGCACAAUGGGCGCAAUCCUGAUGCAGCCAUGCCGCGUGUGUGAAGAAGGCCUUCGGGUUGUAAAGCACUUUCAGCGAGGAGGCGUUACCCGCAGAAGGAGCACCGGCUAACUCCGUGCCAGCAGCCGCGGUAAUAC